CAGGCGGCGUGCCUAAUACAUGCAGUCGAGCGAACGGACGAGAAGCUUGCUUCUCUGAUGUUAGCGGCGGACGGGUGAGUAACACGUGGAUAACCUACCUAUAAGACUGGGAUAACUUCGGGAAACCGGAGCUAAUACCGGAUAAUAUUUUGAACCGCAUGGUUCAAAAGUGAAAGACGGUCUUGCUGUCACUUAUAGAUGGAUCCGCGCUGCAUUAGCUAGUUGGUAAGGUAACGGCUUACCAAGGCAACGAUGCAUAGCCGACCUGAGAGGGUGAUCGGCCACACUGGAACUGAGACACGGUCCAGACUCCUACGGGAGGCAGCAGUAGGGAAUCUUCCGCAAUGGGCGAAAGCCUGACGGAGCAACGCCACGUGAGUGAUGAAGGUCUUCGGAUCGUAAAACUCUGUUAUUAGGGAAGAACAUAUGUGUAAGUAACUGUGCACAUCUUGACGGUACCUAAUCAGAAAGCCACGGCCAACUACGUGCCAGCAGCCGCGGUAAU
rnacentral:rRNA from 1 species